CCUACGGGAGACAGCAGUGAGGAAUAUUGGUCAAUGGCCGAGAGACUGAACCAGCCAAGUCGCGUUAGGGAAGACGGCCCUACGGGUUGUAAACCUCUUUUGUCGGGGAGCCAAGCGAACCACGUGUGGUUCAUUGAGAGUACCCGAAUAAAAAGCAUCGGCUAACUCCGUGCCAGCAGCCGCGGUAAUACGGAGGAUGCGAGAGUUAUCCGGAUUUAUUGGGUUUAAAGGGUGCGCAGGCGGAGGUGCAAGUCAGCGGUCAAAUUGCGGGGCUCAACCCCGUACUGCCGUUGAACCUGCAUCCCUUGAGUGUGCGAGAAGUAUGCGGAAUGCGUGGGGUAGCGGUGAAAUGCAUAGAUAUCACGCAGAACUCCGAUUGCGAAGGCAGCAUACCGGCGCGCAACUGACGCUCAUGCACGAAAGCGUGGGUAUCGAACAGGAUUAGAUACCCAAGUAGUC
rnacentral:rRNA from 1 species